rnacentral:tRNA from 1 species
ACUGGUUUAGCUUAAUAUAGAGUAUGAAGUUGAAGGUUUCAGGGUAUUAUCCAGUA